rnacentral:rRNA from 1 species
UACGGAGGGUGCAAGCGUUAAUCGGAAUUACUGGGCGUAAAGCGCACGCAGGCGGUUGAUUGCGUCAGAUUUGAAAUCCCCGGGCUCAACCUGGGAAUUGCAUCUGAUACUGGUCAGCUUGAGUCUUGUAGAGGGGGGUAGAAUUCCAGGGGUAGCGGUGAAAUGCGUAGAGAUGUGGAGGAAUACCGGUGGCGAAGGCGGCCCCCUGGACGAAGACUGACGCUCAGGUGCGAAAGCGUGGGGAGCAAACAGG